UAUGAUGGGUAGGGGAGCUUCCCAUACGGGUUGAAGCAUGACCGUAAGGACAUGUGGACAGUAUGGGAGUGAGAAUGUUGGCAUGAGUAGCGAGAUGUGGGUGAGAAUCCCACAGGCCGUAAACCCAAGGUUUCCCGGGGAAAGUUCGUCCGCCCUGGGUUAGUCGGGACCUAAGCGGAGGGCGAAAGGCGGAGGGGAGGGACAACAGGUUGAUAGUACUGUACGUCCGAUAACCGUUUGAGAGAUGGGAUGACACAGUAGGAUAAGCUAAGCACACUGUUGGUUAUGUGUGCCCAAGCAUUGAGGCAGUCAGAGUAGGUAAA
rnacentral:rRNA from 1 species